UACGGGGGGGAGCAAGCGUUGUUCGGAUUUACUGGGCGUAAAGGGCGCGUAGGCGGUCAGCACAAGUCAGUUGUGAAAUCUCCGGGCUUAACUCGGAAAGGUCAACUGAUACUGUGCGACUAGAGUGCGGAAGGGGCAACUGGAAUUCUCGGUGUAGCGGUGAAAUGCGUAGAUAUCGGGAAGAACACCAGUGGCGAAAGCGACUCUACUGGGCCAUAACUGACACUGAGGGACGAAAGCUAGGGGGAGCGAAAGGG
rnacentral:rRNA from 1 species